rnacentral:rRNA from 1 species
AGAACGAACGCUGGCGGCAGGCUUAACACAUGCAAGUCGAGCGCUGUAGCAAUACAGAGCGGCAGACGGGUGAGUAACGCGUGGGAACAUACCCUUUCGGUUCGGGAUAGCUCAGGGAAACUUGAAUUAAUACCGGAUACGGCCAGAAGUGAAAAUUUCUGGCGAAAGAUUUAUCGCCGAAGGAUUGGCCCGCGUUCGAUUAGCUAGUUGGUGAGGUAACGGCUCACCAAGGCGACGAUCGAUAGCUGGUCUGAGAGGAUGAUCAGCCACAUUGGGACUGAGACACGGCCCAAACUCCUACGGGAGGCAGCAGUGGGGAAUAUUGGACAAUGGGCGCAAGCCUGAUCCAGCCAUGCCGCGUGAGUGAUGACGGCCUUAGGGUUGUAAAGCUCUUUCGCUAGGGACGAUAAUGACGGUACCUAGACAAGAAGCCCCGGCUAACUUCGUGCCAGCAGCCGCGGUAAUACGAAGGGGGCUAGCGUUGUUCGGAAUUACUGGGCGUAAAGCGCGUGUAGGCGGGCUUUUAAGUCAGGGGUGAAAUGCCAAGGCUCAACCUUGG